CAAGGAAUUUUCCACAAUGGGCGCAAGCCUGAUGGAGCAACGCCGCGUGCGGGAUGACGCCCUUCGGGGUGUAAACCGCUUUUCGAGGGGACGAAGACAAUGACGGUACCCUCGGAAGAAGGAUCGGCUAACUACGUGCCAGCAGCCGCGGUAAGACGUAGGAUCCGAGCGUUGUCCGGAGUUACUGGGCGUAAAGGGCGCGCAGGCGGUCAGUCGCAUCGGCGGUGAAAGCCCCCCGCUCAACGGGGGAGGGUCCGUCGUGAUGGGCUGACUGGAGGCAGGGAGAGGACAGUGGAAUUCCGGGUGUAGUGGUGAAAUGCGUAGAGAUCCGGAGGAACACCAGUGGCGAAGGCGGCUGGCUGGACCUGACCUGACGCUGAGGCGCGAAGGCGUGGGGAGCGAACGGG
rnacentral:rRNA from 1 species